GAUGAUUAUUGGAGGUAGAGCACUGUUUGGACGAGGGGCCCCUCUCGGGUUACCGAAUUCAGACAAACUCCGAAUGCCAAUUAAUUUAACUUGGGAGUCAGAACAUGGGUGAUAAGGUCCGUGUUCGAAAGGGAAACAGCCCAGACCACCAGCUAAGGUCCCAAAAUAUAUGUUAAGUGGAAAAGGAUGUGGCGUUGCCCAGACAACUAGGAUGUUGGCUUAGAAGCAGCCAUCAUUUAAAGAGUGCGUAAUAGCUCACUAGUCGAGUGACACUGCGCCGAAAAUGUACCGGGGCUAAACAUAUUACCGAAGCUGUGGAUUGUCCUUUGGACAAUGGUAGGAGAGCGUUCUAAGGGCGUUGAAGCAUGAUCGUAAGGACAUGUGGAGCGCUUAGAAGUGAGAAUGCCGGUGUGAGUAGCGAAAGACGGGUGAGAAUCCCGUCCACCGAUUGACUAAGGUUUCCAGAGGAAGGCUCGUCCGCUCUGGGUUAGUCGGGUCCUAAGCUGAGGCCGACAGGCGUAGGCGAUGGAUAACAGGUUGAUAUUCCUGUACCACCUAUAAUCGUUUUAAUCGAUGGGGGGACGCAGUAGGAUAGGCGAAGCGUGCGAUUGGAUUGCACGUCUAAGCAGUAAGGCUGAGUAUUAGGCAAAUCCGGUACUCAUUAAGGCUGAGCUGUGAUGGGGAGAAGACAUUGUGUCUUCGAGUCGUUGAUUUCACACUGCCGAGAAAAGCCUCUAGAUAGAAAAUAGGUGCCCGUACCGCAAACCGACACAGGUAGUCAAGAUGAGAAUUCUAAGGUGAGCGAGCGAACUCUCGUUAAGGAACUCGGCAAAAUGACCCCGUAACUUCGGGAGAAGGGGUGCUCUUUAGGGUUAACGCCCAGAAGAGCCGCAGUGAAUAGGCCCAAGCGACUGUUUAUCAAAAACACAGGUCUCUGCUAAACCGUAAGGUGAUGUAUAGGGGCUGACGCCUGCCCGGUGCUGGAAGGUUAAGAGGAGUGGUUAGCUUCUGCGAAGCUACGAAUCGAAGCCCCAGUAAACGGCGGCCGUAACUAUAACGGUCCUAAGGUAGCGAAAUUCCUUGUCGGGUAAGUUCCGACCCGCACGAAAGGCGUAACGAUUUGGGCACUGUCUCAACGAGAGACUCGGUGAAAUCAUAGUACCUGUGAAGAUGCAGGUUACCCGCGACAGGACGGAAAGACCCCGUGGAGCUUUACUGUAGCCUGAUAUUGAAAUUCGGCACAGCUUGUACAGGAUAGGUAGGAGCCUUUGAAACGUGAGCGCUAGCUUACGUGGAGGCGCUGGUGGGAUACUACCCUAGCUGUGUUGGCUUUCUAACCCGCACCACUUAUCGUGGUGGGAGACAGUGUCAGGCGGGCAGUUUGACUGGGGCGGUCGCCUCCUAAAAGGUAACGGAGGCGCUCAAAGGUUCCCUCAGAAUGGUUGGAAAUCAUUCAUAGAGUGUAAAGGCAUAAGGGAGCUUGACUGCGAGACCUACAAGUCGAGCAGGGUCGAAAGACGGACUUAGUGAUCCGGUGGUUCCGCAUGGAAGGGCCAUCGCUCAACGGAUAAAAGCUACCCCGGGGAUAACAGGCUUAUCUCCCCCAAGAGUUCACAUCGACGGGGAGGUUUGGCACCUCGAUGUCGGCUCAUCGCAUCCUGGGGCUGUAGUCGGUCCCAAGGGUUGGGCUGUUCGCCCAUUAAAGCGGUACGCGAGCUGGGUUCAGAACGUCGUGAGACAGUUCGGUCCCUAUCCGUCGUGGGCGUAGGAAAUUUGAGAGGAGCUGUCCUUAGUACGAGAGGACCGGGAUGGACAUACCUCUGGUGUACCAGUUGUCGUGCCAACGGCAUAGCUGGGUAGCUAUGUGUGGACGGGAUAAGUGCUGAAAGCAUCUAAGCAUGAAGCCCCCCUCAAGAUGAGAUUUCCCAACUUCGGUUAUAAGAUCCCUCAAAGAUGAUGAGGUUAAUAGGUUCGAGGUGGAAGCAUGGUGACAUGUGGAGCUGACGAAUACUAA
rnacentral:rRNA from 1 species